rnacentral:lncRNA from 1 species
UUUCUUCAUUUGCUAUCUUGAAUCUGUGUUUUAUGGCUAUGGCUACAAUGCAGGGAUUAAAAUCCCCCCUAUGGUGCAGAAGGUGUCUCUAAACCAUUGGAUUUAACUCAUUUGAAUCCAACAAUUGGGAUUUUAAAUCUAACGAAAUAAAAAAAAAAAGGUGAAUAAAAACAAAAGAAAGGGAACCGGUUGGAAUUAAAACAAAAGGAAAGCAUCUCUUCUCCCUCCCUUUGCAUCUCAGCAAGGAAUCCCUUCUCCUUUCCUUUGCAUCUCAGCUAGGAAAUCAUCUUCUCUCCCCCUCUGAUCAUAAAGCAAAAGAUUGUUCUCUCUCACUCUCGAUCUCAUGCUCUACCUUUGCAUGAAAUCAUUUUCUCUCUCCUUUUGGAUCUCAAGCUCUGUAUCGUUUUCGCUCACUCUCUCACUCCCACUCCCCUCUUGGUCUUGCUAUUGUUGAUCUUGAUUCAACUCGCACUCACGCUCCACCUUGCUCUCACUUUUGCUCUUGCGCCUGCUCCCGCUCUCAGUCCCAAUCUUUCGUCCUCUCAUCGAGGUAAAUCGGCUUUAAACUUCAGCCUUGUAAAUUGUUAAAGUUAUUAUAUUUGUAACCCAUUGGAUGUGGAGAAAACAAUUUGUAAUGACAUAGUACAGAAAUAUAAUUCACACAUAAUAUUUGACAAAAUGCCACAGAAUUAUUUUACUUCUGAUUUAUUCUUUUAAUAGUCUAGGUUGCCUUUUUUUGU